GACCCAGGAACAGCGGGGCUGACGAGGAGAGAAUGACUGGGGAUGUAAAUGCUCAUCAGAGAGGAAGCCAGUCCCACAGGUCACAAUACACUGAGGGGACUCGCUCCCCUUGAACACAGUGGGAGCAGAAGGACCGAGCACCUUGUAGGAUCAGACCUUAGGCUAGAGGUCAAACCUAAAUUAUGGCUCAGAGUGAGGGAGCGCUGAGGAACUUCCAAACUAAAUGUCUGUAUCCGCAUCUUUGAAAAGUCAUGGAAGAUGGGAGAGAUUCCCAAAGACUGGAAUAGAGCCCGGCUAUAAAGGGAAAUAAGAACAACCCAGGAAACUACAGACCAGUCAGCUUAACUUCUGUGCCAGGAAAGAUAAUGGAGCAAAUAAUUAAGGAAUCCAUCUGCAAACAUCUGGAAGAGAAUAAGAUGUUAAUUAACAGCCAGAAUGAAUUUGUAAAGAACAAAUCAUGUCAAAUCAACUUGGUACCUUUCUUUCAUAAGAUAACAAGCCUGGUGGAUAAGGGGGAAGUGGUGGACAUGGUAUACCUCGACUCUAAUAAAGCAUUUGACACAGUCUCACAUGACCUUCUUAUCAACAAACAAGGUAAAUAUAAUG